CCUACGGGCGGCAGCAGUGGGGAAUAUUGCACAAUGGGCGCAAGCCUGAUGCAGCCAUGCCGCGUGUGUGAAGAAGGCCUUCGGGUUGUAAAGCACUUUCAGCGGGGAGGAAGGCGGUGAGGUUAAUGACCUCAUCGAUUGACGUUACCCGCAGAAGAAGCACCGGCUAACUCCGUGCCAGCAGCCGCGGUAAUACGGAGGGUGCAAGCGUUAAUCGGAAUUACUGGGCGUAAAGCGCACGCAGGCGGUCUGUCAAGUCGGAUGUGAAAUCCCCGGGCUCAACCUGGGAACUGCAUUCGAAACUGGCAGGCUAGAGUCUUGUAGAGGGGGGUAGAAUUCCAGGUGUAGCGGUGAAAUGCGUAGAGAUCUGGAGGAAUACCGGUGGCGAAGGCGGCCCCCUGGACAAAGACUGACGCUCAGGUGCGAAAGCGUGGGGAGCAAACAGGAUUAGAUACCCGGGUAGUC
rnacentral:rRNA from 1 species